UUUUCCUCCCCCCAAACACCGACUCUCCAUACCCGAUCAUGAUCUCCUCUUCCCAUUUCCUCUCGUUCUCUCUCUCGGACGAUUCGAUGCCGAGGCCGAAGGAGCACAUCACCGGAGCUCGACGGAAACCAGCGGAGUCACUGGAGCUCGACGGAAACUAGUGGGCUCCAGGUCGUCUUCGACCGAGGAGUCUCUGUUCGGUGGAUGCUGUGACCGAUCGUCAAUGACACGGCGGCUAGGGCACGGCGGGAGGCUUGAUUCGCGUCGUCUCCCAACCAAUUGACCUCCCCUUUCCUCUCCUCACGUUGCUCACAGAGCGAUCCACCUCUUCACAGGCCAAAUCAGACCGAGCGACGCCAUCGGGAGGUGAUCAAGAAAGGAGGGAAGCGUCAGAUCUAUCCAGCGACGACGGUGUGGGUGAGUUAAUUUAGGUCAUGGAUUGGUUUCGGUUGAAGAUGAUGAGAUGUUCUUGAGCUGUCGGGCAGAGGCUAAAAGGAUUGUUGCUGGAUCAAUGAUCUUCUUGCUUGAUUCCUUAUUGAUUCGAACGGUAGAGUGGAAUCCAGCAGGGUGUUGUUCUGUGUAUUUUCUUUGGUUCCAGCAGUAGCUACCUUUCCUGGCAGCAACAAUACUUUGUGUGGAGCAACAUAAAGGGGGUUGAGCUUGAGGACUCUAAUUCGAGUCGAGCGUCUCGACAUCAGAUUUAGCUUGAUUAGACCUUCUAUUUGAGGCGGGUAUUUCUUCCUUGGCCUCUACGUAGUUUUUCUUAAUCUUAGUGCAUGGUUAUUAUGUGAUGAUUUAGGUUGUUUUACCUUAUAUCGUGUUCGUUUUUUGCUUUCAUGCAUGAUACUUAUGCUUGACCCUUGUGAUAAUCUAUUUAAUUAUUAUACAGUCUACACUUUGGUUAUCUAGACUCUGUGGUAUUUUUACAUGUAGAGUAUGUAUGGUCGGGGAUAUUUCAUUGGCGGUGUUCAUAUGAUGAUUGUCCAUUUGUAUGUCGUGUAUACAUUUGUCUGGUGUGAUGAUUUGAGGAGUUGUGUUGAUUGUAUAUUUGUUAUAUAUACAUGUGUCUGAUGUGUUUUACUGGAGGAUACAUGUUGAUUGUACCUAUGUUCUGUGUACAUAUGUCUAGGGGGAUUAUUGGUGAUUUUUUGUUGAUUAUAUAUGUGAGGUUGUGAGCAUGUGUCUGGUGUGAUAUGUGGAGGUAUCAUGACGAUUAUACUCAUGUUGUGGGGUAUUUAUGUGGAUUGGAUUGUUGAAUUGAUGAUG